UUUGAUGAGGCUAAUCCAAUGAUGGAGUGGUUGAAUGAGGAUGAGGAACAUGUAAUCUUGGAUGGAUCUGAUGCUGCUAGCGCCGUGUUCGAGGAAAUACGUCGCCUUAACUCAAGCAAGAAAUCCUCUCAUCUUGGAAGGAAGGGCAAUGGAACGAAAAGGAAGAGAGUAUUGGAAGAAGAUGAGGAUGACUACAUUGAUUGUGACGAUGAUGAAGAAGAAGAUGAGUACAUAGACAUUGAUGAUGAGGAUGAAUGCGGAGAUCAUAGCGCAAGUGAAGCUGAUGCAGAAGAUUCAACUACCCGAGUUGAAAAAGAUCAACCAAGCCAAGAUGGAAACGAGGUUGAGGAAUGAAAUGAUGGAGGUUUGCUGAACUGCCGUAGGUCUCGACGAGGAAAGCAAAGCACGAAGCUGAAGGACUUGACGAGCCUUUACAAUUGACAGAAGCAUUUGGAGCAUCGUAUGGGGUCGCAAGGUUGCUGUCCAGUGACAGAAGUGACACAAGAAUGGAAGAAGGAAGCUUCUGGUUGCAUUUUGUGGUGUAUGAGAACUCUGAAUGUUAUUUUGUGGGAUGCAUGAAAUGUUGUCCAGGACUAGUUGUGGACAAUUCAUUUGGAUGGAUGUUCUUUUGCUGUGA